AAGGGCAUCUUCAACAGUUUGUUGGUUAGGUUGUUGGUAAAAUAUGCCAUGUCAUCAACCAACACCUUAACAUACAACUACUCCAAUGGGUUGUAUCUAGUUUGCCCAAUAAGAUGUGAUGUAAUAAAUAAGGUGCUCUCUCAUUCUACAUUGAAGCUUGUGCAAGGGUGUUGGUUAAUUUACAUACAACCUUGCUCUCUUUCCUCAUUUAUUGCAUG
rnacentral:lncRNA from 1 species